rnacentral:rRNA from 1 species
AAGGGCACCACAAGAACGCGUGGAGCAUGUGGCUUAAUUUGACUCAACGCGGGAAAUCUUACCGGGUCCGGACACACUGAGGAUUGACAGAUAUACGCUGCGUUGCUGCACCUUCGGGUGUGCACGUGGCUCAAAGAUGCUAGUUCUUUCAUGAUUAUGUGAUAGGUGGUGCAUGGCCGUUCUUAGUUCGUGGAGUGAUCUGUCUGCUUAAUUGCGUAUCAAUAAUAGAGACCUAGUAUACGCGUAUUACUCGUGUGGUAGUGACCCCCUUCUCACGGAGGCGCGUGCCGUCAUACGGUAUACGCACUGGUCUCAGAUAGCAACGAACGUGACCGUAUUCUAUUGUUGCAGUGAAUUAUACGCGCGUGCUUUUACUAGCAUGUCGUUCCCACUGCUUAGUGUGCGCUGCCAGUACUUGUUGCUGCUGCGUCACACAUUAAACUAUAGAGACCGCUGUUUCUUCUUUAAACCAGAGGAAGGAUACGGCAAUAACAGGUCUGUGAUGCCCUCAGAUGUUCCGGGCUGCACACGUGCUACAAUGAUCAUUGCACUGUGCAUCUAACCCAAUGUGCGCGGACGCCACGAUGCGUAUUUGUCUUCGGGCAUUUUAUGCAUUCGCUUGUGCGACUGCGCCGAACCUACUUCGAAAGUAAAAUUUUUAAGUGGGUAAUCCAUUAGAAGUAAUGACUCGCAUAGACCAUGGCACACUAUAUGUACGCGCAGGUCUACCCGGCUCGCCUUUGUGUGAGUGCAGUGCGUAGCUUGUUGUUUCGUACGUGCCACUCCGUAUUAAUUCGUACGUGGGGAUAGAUCAUUGUUUAAUUGUUGGUCUCGGUCUUAACUAGGAAUGCCUNGUACGGGUCUUUGGUUCAACAUACCACCCGGAAUACGUCCCUGCCCUUUGUACACACCGCCCGUC